GACGAACGCUGGCGGCGUGCUUAACACAUGCAAGUCGAACGGAAAGGCCCUGCUUUUGUGGGGUGCUCGAGUGGCGAACGGGUGAGUAACACGUGAGUAACCUGCCCUUGACUUUGGGAUAACUUCAGGAAACUGGGGCUAAUACGGGAUAGGAGCUCCUGCUGCAUGGUGGGGAUUGGAAAGUUUCGGCGGUUGGGGAUGGACUCGCGGCUUAUCAGCUUGUUGGUGGGGUAGUGGCUUACCAAGGCUUUGACGGGUAGCCGGCCUGAGAGGGUGACCGGCCACAUUGGGACUGAGAUACGGCCCAGACUCCUACGGGAGGCAGCAGUGGGGAAUAUUGCACAAUGGGCGGAAGCCUGAUGCAGCAACGCCGCGUGCGGGAUGACGGCCUUCGGGUUGUAAACCGCUUUCGCCUGUGACGAAGCGUGAGUGACGGUAAUGGGUAAAGAAGCACCGGCUAACUACGUG
rnacentral:rRNA from 1 species